rnacentral:rRNA from 1 species
UACGUAGGGGCGAGCGUUGUCCGGAAUUAUUGGGCGUAAAGGGUUCGUAGGCGGUAAUACAUGUCAGAUGUGAAAUCUUGUGGCUUAACCACAUCAAGCAUCUGAAACUGUAUAACUUGAGUGGAGGAGAGGUAAGUGGAAUUCCUAGUGUAGCGGUGAAAUGCGUAGAUAUUAGGAAGAAUACCAGUAGCGAAGGCGACUCUCUGGACUGUAACUGACACUGAGGCACGAAAGCGUGGGGAGCAAACAGGAUUAGAUACCCGUGUA